ACCGGCGUACGGGUGCGUAACACGUAUGUAAUUUACCUCAAACUAGAGAAUAGCCUUGAGAAAUUAAGAAUAAUACUCUAUGUGGUAACAGAUUCACAUGAAUUUGUUACUAAAGUUCCGGCGGUUUGAGAUAAGCAUGCGUCCCAUUAGCUUGUUGGUGAGGUAAUAGCUCACCAAGGCUACGAUGGGUAGGGGGUCUGAGAGGAUUUCCCCCCACACUGGUACUGAGACACGGACCAGACUCCUACGGGAGGCAGCAGUAAGGAAUAUUGGGCAAUGGGCGCAAGCCUGACCCAGCCAUGCCGCGUGAAGGAAGAAGGCCUUAUGGGUCGUAAACUUCUUUUCUACGAGAGGAAACCUAUUUUUUCGUAAAGUAGCUGACAGUAUUGUAGGAAUAAGGAUCGGCUAACUCCGUGCCAGCAGCCGCGGUAAUACGGAGGAUCCAGACGUUAUCCGGAUUUAUUGGGUUUAAAGGGUGCGUAGGCGGGAAAUCAAGUCAGAGGUGAAAGCCUGUAGCUCAACUACAGAAUUGCCUUUGAUACUGGUUUUCUUGAGUACAGUUGAAGUCAAUGGAAUGUAACAUGUAGCGGUGAAAUGCUUAGAUAUGUUACAGAACACCGAUUGCGAAGGCAGUUGACUAAGUUGUUACUGA
rnacentral:rRNA from 1 species